CAAGAUCCAAGAAAGCCAGUGGUACACAGUGAGACCCUGUCUCUGAAAACAACAACAAAAUAAAAUUUGUGUAGUCCUUAUGAUUGUUUUGUUCACUGUUUGGUAUCGUUUGAUGGUUUCCAUUCAUAUAAUCAGUUUUAUUUUUACUAAUUACAACUUCUAGUUCAAUACACUCUGGUGUCAAGAUCUCUUUAAGCUUGCUUCAUACUUUAGAAGCUGAAGUGUGCAGUGUGGGAGGAGGAUGUUCGAUGUGAUUUCUUCACUCUAAACUUCUCUUCCUCCUACCCAAUAGGCAGUCGCUACAGAGACUGUUCGAUUAGAACUGUGAUUGUGAAGAAGAAAUAUCCAGAAGACUUUCUUGAGAAAUCUGUUGGCCUGUCUUUGAAAGCUAUUAAGCAAUUCCUCCUCUCUCUGUGGGGUGCUUUUCUGAGUUUCUCAGAGAUGCCCUAAUUGGAAACCUCUUAAUGCACAUUAAUGCACUGAAUAGUAUGUCUCUUUACUUGAAGCAGUAGUCACAGUUCCUGGCAUGUAGCUUGGCAUUUUGUCAUGCACUCUUUUGUUGAGGUCCCUUUAUCCCAUGAUGGGUCUAAGUAAGAGAAUAGGUGCCAGUCUUGUGCCCUCUAAACUCUAGAGAAUAUAGGGAAAAUUCUUUCAGAGCAUCUUACCAUUCUACUUCAUACUCUGUGGUGUAUGUGGAUUCCCUUGCUCCAUCUAAGCUGAAGGAGAAGUAACUUCAUUUCUCCUGUGAAUGUGAAUAUGUGUCCUCUUUUAAAACAAUAGCCAAUUCUUAGAAACGGUCUAGAUAUCCUACAAUUCAGUUCUAUCCUGAGUUAAUACAGACCCACUGGUUAAGGACCUCUGCCCAUGUGUAGACACAUCCCUUUGUCCUCUAGUAAAGGAUAUUCCAGUCCUUCAUUUGCUCAGCCCUUUCCUGCAGAGCCUCUCCUCAUUUUCUCUCUUUUCCACCGAGAAUACAUGUGUGUCGUUUCCGGGAUCACGACUCUUCAGGCUGUGUCCAUACACUUCUCUCAGGAGGAAUGGGAACACCUGGACUCUGCUCAGAUGAAUUUACGGAAAGAAGUGAUUUUGGAGAAUUUCAGUCACCUGGUUUCAGUGGCUGUGAUCUCCUUAUUGGAACAAAGGAAAGAACUCUGGAUGGUUGACAUAGAGCUGAGCAGAGGUCUCUAUUCAGGUAAGCAAGGGAUGACAUGUCCAUAAGCUUUCUUCUGGGACAAAUACCUUCCUUUGUUUCCAAAACAACUAUUCUGUCUACAAUUUAAAGCAUAUGCCACAUUUCUAGUUAUAUAACACUGACUAUUCCCAUCCUAAGAAGUGUGUGUGUGUGUGUGUGUGUGUGUGAGUGUCUCAUUUCCCUGUGCUAGUUUUUAUUUCAUAUACUGCACAAUUUAAAUAUUUUUGAUCAGCUUGCCUAUAUGUAGCAGUUCAUGUUUUGAUUUUAAAAAGUAAAAAUCAGGGCUGGGCAAUAGUUGUGUUGGUGAGGUGAUUGCUGGGAAAGCAUGAGGACCUUCAUAAUCCACAAAGAAAUGGUGGGCAUGGUCAUACAUGCUUGUAAUCCCAGCCUAACCAUUGAGCUCCAAGGCUAAUGAGAGACACUGUCUCAAGAUUAAGGUAGAUAGUAAGCCUGAGAAAUGGUACCUGAGGCUGACCUCUGGCUUCUGUGCAUGCACACCCCUAAAUAACCAUAUCAUACACACAAAGUAAAAAUCAUUUUUACUGCUGUAUAUUUACAAUAUGGAGUUCUGAGUUAAGUACCACCCUUAAUACUGGGAACAGAAUGCAACCCAUGUCAAUCAGAUGCAGGUGGUACUCACAUGACCAGCAUGAUCAGUAGGAAUUUUCUUGAUGUAUCCUUUCUUCCAGCACAGUGCAAGAUAUAGUUGCUGUUGAUGCCGUAUGUUUAGACUGCUGUUCUCACCCUAUUUAUCUUUCUCUAUGCCAUUUGGAACUUGAUUUCCUAAUCCAGUUUUUGCUGCUGUGAAACAGCUUUGACAAACACUAAAUAUGCAUUUGAGUUAGCUGGAUUGUAUAUACUUGCAGAUUUUAAAAAAGGAUAGGGAAAUUGAAAAAGACAUGUAGAAUUUUGUUAGGUCUGCUAAGCACGGAUAUGAAGAUAUCUGCUUACAUUAAUUUUAUAAAGUCAUUCAGUCAGAAUAUAGGAUUCAGUCAUUGGCAGGUAUCUAUGCAUUCGUAGAACUUCUAAGGGUAAGGGAUUUUUUUUAUAGUUUAAAUAAAGUCAGCUGAAUCUA